AUAUUCCGACAGGGGAGCGCCACAGCGCUGAGAGUGCGGCAGCCGGGAAAUCGGUGGGCUGCAGACCCUCUGAACCUCGCCCGGGUCAUUCCGGGUAGGAAGUUCGGUCUCUACUCAAG
rnacentral:ncRNA from 1 species